rnacentral:rRNA from 1 species
GACGAACGCUGGCGGCGUGCUUAACACAUGCAAGUCGAACGGUAAGGCCCUUCGGGGUACACGAGUGGCGAACGGGUGAGUAACACGUGGGUGAUCUGCCCUGCACUUCGGGAUAAGCCUGGGAAACUGGGUCUAAUACCGGAUAGGACCACUGCCUGCAUGGGUGGUGGUGGAAAGCUUUUGCGGUGUGGGAUGGGCCCGCGGCCUAUCAGCUGGUUGGUGGGGUGAUGGCCUACCAAGGCGACGACGGGUAGCCGGCCUGAGAGGGUGACCGGCCACACUGGGACUGAGAUAUGGCCCAGACUCCUACGGGAGGCAGCAGUGGGGAAUAGUGCACAAUGGGCGCAAGCCUGAUGCAGCGACGCCGCGUGAGGGAUGACGGCCUUCGGGUUGUAAACCUCUUUCAGCACCGACGAAGCGCAAGUGACGGUAGGUGCAGAAGAAGGACCGGCCAACUACGUGCCAGCCGCCGCAGUAA